rnacentral:misc_RNA from 2 species
AACGCACAUUGCGCCCGCUAGUAUUCUGGCGGGCAUGCCUGUUCGAGCGUCAUUUCAACCCUCAAGCUCUGCUUGGUGUUGGGGCCCUACAGUCACCUGUAGGCCCUGAAAACUAGUGGCGGGCUCGCUAUAACUCCGAGCGUAGUAGAAACACCUCGCUUUGGACGUGAUGGCGGGAUCCGGCCGUUAAACCCCCCAAUUUUCUGAAUGUUGACCUCGGAUCAGGUAGGAAUACCCGCUGAACUUAA